CCCCGGCCCCCCUGGCCACGCCCCGCCCCCCGUGCCCCGACCGCUGUCCUGAGCCCACCCAGCGGCCAGGAGCCGAGCAAGCAAAAGCGGGGGAGCCUUGCUGGUAACCGCAGGGCCCGGCCUGCGCCAGUUGUCCCGGCAGCCACAGCGCCCGGGUCACCGUUGGGACUGCCCGGAGUGUCCCGGCUCAGACGCUAAAUGACUUGGCUCCGCUGGCUUGGGGAGGGCGUCGGGAAACAAGGCAGCCAGUGGUCACGGCCCCGGGGAUACUUAGAGGAGGGUCAAAUGAGAGACGUUGUUGGGACGUUUGCUAAACCCCACGGAGGACUUCCUGAGGCUGCUGCGACCUCGAUGGGCUCUGGACUCCGGGCCCAGCUCAGUACACUCAGUACAGCAAGAUGGAGGAGAGAAGUGAGAGAGAUUCUCCGAGGAGAGAAGAUGGCUGGGGGUACAGAGCAUGGGUGGAAGGACAGUGACAGACACAGUGACAGUUGGUCACACAUCCAACAAGACAGCCUGGCCUUUGGUAUGGAUGGAUGUUCCGUCCUCUUCCUCUACUCUGUCUACCUGGCAUUGCAGUAUCAUGUAUUGCAGGCACCUUUCGAUGCCACCCACUGAAAUCUAACUGAGUCUUACAAUAGGGGAAGAGCAACCUAUGUGAGGGUGUAUCAUAAUUUAUUUUAUUAUGACUCUACUAAAAGCCAUUUUGGUGAUUUCCAGUUUUCAUGAUUUCCUCUAUUUUAAAAAUGCUUGUAUAUUUGUCUCUGCUUGUGUAAAUAUACCCAUAAUGCCUUAAAUUCCUACAAAUGAGAGUACUGAGUCAAAGCAGUUCCUUUUUCAACAAGUUGAUGCUGUCACAUUGCUCUUGGAAAAUCUAUGAAUGACCUUACUUUCCUGACAAGGGUAUACAGAAUGCCCACCUUUCCACUGCUCACCAAAUAGUGGGUUUUGUGGUUUUACUAACCUGAGAAGUAAAGAAAAAUUGGCAUCUCACUGUUCUUUUAAUUUGUCAUGAUUUGCAGAUGGCUUUUGGGAUUUUGAUUUUGUCACCCAAAGUUUUCCUAACCUUCUCAGAUUUGUGUCCUCAGGAAUCAGGAUAAGCAUUUUGAUUAGAGUCCUCCAACUCUUUAUCUAACCCAGGAAGCAAGUCUGGGAGGACAGAACCCAGGUGGAGUGUUCCCCUAAAUUAAGGUAUUAUUUAGAGGUGGGUCAGCUACCUAGGCAAGUAGGGAGCACUUGGGGGAUGGUCAUGGCCUAGGGCCAAGUUCCCAGUUUUGUAGCCAGCCUCUUCCUCCUCAGGACAGCCUCAGAGACUGUCUCUUGAAGACAAACCUCACAGAGAAGACCUGAGAGAGGCCAUCCGGUGGGUGGGCCAUUGAUGACAGUGGGCCCCCAGGUCAGCCCCAGAGUGCUCCCACUGCAUAUCCUGCUGUGGGAACCAGAUUUUUUUGGUGCCUAUAUCCUCAUCCUCGGAGGCAACUGCAAGGUCUCACAGCCCCGAUUGAGAGACACAACUGGUCCCUCCAACUCUGCUCCUGACCCGUGUCAGCCCCCACCUUCUCAGACGAAGACAGUAUGGUCCCCUAUUCACUGUGUGUCUAGAACAGAAACUCUGAGCUCCUAUCUGACCAAGAUUAAAGGACUGGGCAUUCCAAAUCAUUAAAUAUUCUAAGAGCACCUGUUUUUUAGUCCAAAAGGAAUUUUGUUUUUAAUCUUAUGUGUCCAUGAAGGUCUCCAAGAAAAUCUCCAGAACAUUCAGACUACUGAUACUCACAAGAUGGCAAGCUGACUGACAGAAGGGAAAUGUCUCAAAGACAGUGGCAAUACAGAGGGUACUGGAUGCGGGUUAGGUUAAUUAGCCUUCCAACUGGUUACACUGACACUUGCCCAGAAAGCAAUAAAAGCCGUCAUGUGUUGAGUCA
ensembl:lncRNA